CCUACGGGAGGCAGCAGUGGGGAAUAUUGGGCAAUGGGCGCAAGCCUGACCCAGCAACGCCGCGUGAAGGAAGAAGGCUUUCGGGUUGUAAACUUCUUUUAUCAGGGACGAAGCAAGUGACGGUACCUGAUGAAUAAGCCACGGCUAACUACGUGCCAGCAGCCGCGGUAAUACGUAGGUGGCAAGCGUUAUACGGAUUUACUGGGUGUAAAGGGCGUGUAGGCGGGAAAGCAAGUCAGAUGUGAAAACCAUGGGCUCAACCUGUGGACUGCAUUUGAAACUGUUUUGCUUGAGUACUGGAGAGGCAGACGGAAUUCCUAGUGUAGCGGUGAAAUGCGUAGAUAUUAGGAGGAACACCAGUGGCGAAGGCGGUCUGCUGGACAGCAACUGACGCUGAGGCGCGAAAGCGUGGGGAGCAAACAGGAUUAGAUACCCGUGUAGUC
rnacentral:rRNA from 1 species